GUAGGUGGCGGAUGAGAGAGCUGGCGCAGCUACCCUGGUGGCGGUGGCUGAAGUGGCGGCGGCUGCGGCGGCUGCAACAGCUUCGGGCUCGGGGUUUUGGCGGCGGCGCCGGCGGGCUGGGCUGCGUGGUGCGGACCCCGGCGCGCGGUCCGGGUUGCUGGGGCGGCGCGUAUGCCUCUAAUGGAGGAAUUUCUGAGCAGCACCCCUGGCCCAGUGGCUUUGAAAGGGAGCUCAAACCAGAGACUAUUUCAAGCCCUGGACAUCAUAUCCUGAGGGCCACAGGAGAAGAGAACAUGGCUGUGAGUUUGGAUGACGACGUGCCACUCAUCCUGACCUUGGACGAGGGUGGCAGUGCCCCACUGGCUCCCUCCAACGGCCUGGGCCAGGAAGAGCUACCUAGUAAAAAUGGCGGCAGCUAUGCCAUCCACGACUCGCAGGCCCCCAGUCUCAGCUCUGAGGGCAGGAAUUCCCCCUCCAGCCCCACACACAACUGGGAGAUGAAUUACCAAGAGGCAGCAAUCUACCUCCAGGAAGGCGAGAACAAUGACAAGUUCUUCACCCACCCCAAGGAUGCCAAGGCGCUGGCGGCCUACCUCUUUGCACACAAUCACCUCUUCUACCUGAUGGAGCUGGCCACGGCCCUGCUGCUGCUGCUGCUCUCCCUGUGCGAGGCCCCCGCCGUCCCCGCGCUCCGGCUUGGCAUCUACGUCCACGCCACCCUGGAACUAUUCGCCCUGAUGGUGGUAGUGUUUGAACUCUGCAUGAAGUUACGCUGGCUGGGCCUCCACACCUUCAUCCGGCACAAGCGGACCAUGGUCAAGACCUCGGUGCUGGUGGUGCAGUUUGUCGAGGCCAUCGUGGUGUUGGUACGGCAGAUGUCCCAUGUGCGGGUGACCCGAGCACUGCGCUGCAUUUUCCUGGUGGACUGUCGGUAUUGCGGUGGCGUCCGGCGCAACCUGCGGCAGAUCUUCCAGUCCCUACCACCCUUCAUGGACAUCCUCCUGCUGCUGCUGUUCUUCAUGAUCAUCUUCGCCAUCCUCGGUUUCUACUUGUUCUCCCCUAACCCUUCAGACCCCUACUUCAGCAGCCUGGAGAACAGCAUUGUCAGUCUGUUUGUCCUUCUAACCACAGCCAAUUUCCCAGAUGUGAUGAUGCCCUCCUACUCCCGGAACCCCUGGUCCUGUGUCUUCUUCAUUGUGUACCUCUCCAUUGAGCUGUACUUCAUCAUGAACCUGCUUCUGGCUGUGGUGUUCGACACCUUCAAUGACAUUGAGAAACGCAAGUUCAAGUCGUUGCUACUGCACAAGCGAACUGCCAUCCAGCAUGCCUACCGCCUGCUCGUCAGCCAGAGGAGGCCCGCCGGCAUCUCCUACAGGCAUUUUGAAGGCCUCAUGCGCUUCUACAAGCCCCGGAUGAGUGCCAGGGAGCGCUAUCUUACCUUCAAGGCCCUGAAUCAGAACAACACACCUCUGCUCAGCCUAAAGGACUUUUACGAUAUCUAUGAAGUUGCGGCUUUGAAGUGGAAGGCCAAGAAAAACAGAGAGCACUGGUUUGAUGAGCUUCCCAGGACGGCGCUCCUCAUCUUCAAAGGCAUUAAUAUCCUUGUGAAGUCCAAGGCCUUCCAGUAUUUCAUGUACUUGGUGGUGGCAGUCAACGGGGUCUGGAUCCUCGUGGAGACGUUUAUGCUGAAAGGUGGGAACUUCUUCUCCAAGCACGUGCCCUGGAGUUACCUCGUCUUUCUAACUAUCUAUGGGGUGGAGCUGUUCCUGAAGGUCGCCGGCCUGGGCCCUGUGGAGUACUUGUCCUCCGGAUGGAACUUGUUUGACUUCUCCGUGACAGUGUUCGCCUUCCUGGGACUGCUGGCGCUGGCCCUCAACAUGGAGCCCUUCUAUUUCAUCGUGGUCCUGCGCCCCCUCCAGCUGUUGAGGCUGUUUAAGUUGAAAGAGCGCUACCGCAACGUGCUGGACACCAUGUUCGAGCUGCUGCCCCGGAUGGCCAGCCUGGGCCUCACCCUGCUCAUCUUUUACUACUCCUUCGCCAUCGUGGGCAUGGAGUUCUUCUGCGGGAUCGUCUUCCCCAACUGCUGCAAAGUUCUGUCCUCUCUGGAGGUGACCGAUCGCCUUGUGACCCUCCUUCCUUUCUCCCUUGUGCUCCGGCCAGCACAAGUACAGUGGCAGAUGCCUACCGCUGGCGCAACCACACCGUGGGCAACAGGACCGUGGUGGAGGAAGGCUACUAUUAUCUCAAUAAUUUUGACAACAUCCUCAACAGCUUUGUGACCCUGUUUGAGCUCACAGUUGUCAACAACUGGUACAUCAUCAUGGAAGGCGUCACCUCUCAGACCUCCCACUGGAGCCGCCUCUACUUCAUGACCUUUUACAUUGUGACCAUGGUGGUGAUGACGAUCAUUGUCGCCUUCAUCCUCGAGGCCUUCGUCUUCCGGAUGAACUACAGCCGCAAGAACCAGGACUCAGAAGUUGAUGGUGGCAUCACCCUUGAGAAGGAAAUCUCCAAAGAAGAGCUGGUUGCUGUCCUGGAGCUCUACCGGGAGGUACGGGGGGCCUCCUCCGAUGUCACUCGGCUGCUGGAGACCCUCUCCCAGAUGGAGAGAUACCAGCAACGUUCCAUGGUGUUUCUGGGACGGCGAUCAAGGACCAAGAGCGACUUGAGCCUGAAGAUGUACCAGGAAGAGAUCCAGGAGUGGUACGAGGAGCAUGCCAGGGAGCAGGAGCAGCAGCGACAGCUCAGCAGCAGUGCAGCGCCCGCCACCCAGCAGCCCCCCAGCAGCCGCCAGCGCUCCCAGACUGUUACCUAGCCCAGUGCCCGAAAGCCAUCUCUUCUAUGCAAUAACACAAUAAUAGUAUUACUCUA